rnacentral:rRNA from 1 species
UCAUCCGGGGUUCUCUCCGGUGCACUUCGCCGCGUUCAGGCCAGCAUCAGUUCGUCGCGGGGGAAAAAGGCUUCGGGAACGUGGCUGCUCCGGGAGUGUUAUAGCCCGUUGCAUAAUACCCUGCGGUGGACUGAGGACCGCGCAUCUGCAAGGAUGCUGGCGUAAUGGUCACCAGCGAC